rnacentral:rRNA from 1 species
GAUGAACGCUGGCGGCGUGCCUAAUACAUGCAAGUCGAGCGAACAGACGAGGAGCUUGCUCCUCUGACGUUAGCGGCGGACGGGUGAGUAACACGUGGAUAACCUACCUAUAAGACUAGGAUAACUUCGGGAAACCGGAGCUAAUACCGGAUAAUAUAUUGAACCGCAUGGUUCAAUAGUGAAAGACGGCUUUGCUGUCACUUAUAGAUGGAUCCGCGCCGCAUUAGCUAGUUGGUAAGGUAACGGCUUACCAAGGCGACGAUGCGUAGCCGACCUGAGAGGGUGAUCGGCCACACUGGAACUGAGACACGGUCCAGACUCCUACGGGAGGCAGCAGUAGGGAAUCUUCCGCAAUGGGCGAAAGCCUGACGGAGCAACGCCGCGUGAGUGAUGAAGGUCUUCGGAUCGUAAAACUCUGUUAUUAGGGAAGAACAAAUGUGUAAGUAACUAUGCACGUCUUGACGGUACCUAAUCAGAAAGCCACGGCUAACUACGUG